UUUGUUCUCUUUACUGUUUGCUGUGUGACACUGCUUGUUUGCUCACGUCUGACCUUUUACCGCCAGGAGCUAAAGCCCAAAAAAAAAAAAAAACGGUCUGUUUCGCGUAAUAGAGAUAUGGGCUCGGCUUGAAAUUAAACAUGCGAUAAGCAAAACAUUGGAGAGGAGAGGAGGAAAAAGGCAUUCUGGGACUUGGUUAGUUCUGCAGACACUUUGAUGAUUUUGUGAUUGCGAGGAACACACUAAGGGAGUCGAGGAGAAAAAAGGAAAUCAGUCUGUCAGCAAAAAAAAAAAAAAGCUGACACACCCUCAAGUUGCUUUGCAAAAACAUCCACUUACUCUUGAGCUCAAGUUGGGCCGGUCUUUACGAGCAUUUACUGUUUACUUCUCCAAGUGCACGACACCUCUUUUAUCUUUCCUGUUCGACGGUGCAACCCUACAAUCAUUUUUUUUUUCAUCUCAUGGAACAGAGCAAACUGGAAGCAUUUGUUGGUAUCACCUGCUCAUUGGUCCUCUUCCAGAAGACAGCCAGGGUGAAGACAGCCGUGACGGGCGGCGCCAGGUAGCUGGUCACCGACUGAAUAUAAACGUACAGUUGGCCGCUGUUGGCAGACUGCAAAAUGGGAAUCCACACCACGCUAACCACCACCAAGAUCACUGUCACGAUCCUGAGUGGAGAAAUUACAAUUUAGUGAGACCAGCAACUCUCUCUCUGAGGCUCGCGGCCGGUGCUUCUUCCAGAUGUCCAUGGUGAACAACGUGGAGCUGCUGUUGAAGAUGGACGUCAGCGAUGACAUCAGAGCGGCCAUAAUCACCGAUAUCAUAAGACCACCUCAAUGACAAGUUUGGGGAAGGCGAUGUUGGAGCAUCCCACUUCGGCGCCACACACUCGUACACACUCCUCGGGGUCGACGCAUCCCACUGUGUCUGAAACAUGAGGAGGUCGACCAUCCAGAGGUCAUUCACACACAAAG